rnacentral:rRNA from 1 species
AUACGGAGGAUCCGAGCGUUAUCCGGAUUUAUUGGGUUUAAAGGGUGCGCAGGCGGCCAUUUAAGUCAGCGGUUAAAUCGUGGGGCUCAACCCCAUUCUGCCGUUGAUACUGGGUGGCUUGAUUGCGGUCGAGGUUGGCGGAAUUCGUUGUGUAGCGGUGAAAUGCAUAGAUAUGACGAAGAACACCGAUUGCGUAGGCAGCUGACCAGACCGCAAAUGACGCUCAUGCACGAAAGUGCGGGGAUCGAACAGGAUUAGAUACCCUGGUAGUCCGCACAGUAAACGAUGAAUACUUGUUUUCGGCGAUAUAAUGUCGGAGGCAAAGCGAAAGCGAUAAGUAUUCCACCUGGGGAGUACGCCGGUAACGGUGAAACUCAAAUGAAUUGACGGGG